ensembl:lncRNA
GACAAGCACUGGGGCCCUCAGUGCUGGAGCAGAGGAUGGGACCGGGGCUGGGGCACACCUGGCUGCAGUUCGGGUGUUCUGCUGCCAUCACUUGUGAGACUGUGAGGUUUCGUGAAGGAUCAGCCCAUGAGUACACGAGGAUGUUGGAUCGGGGUUUGGAUGGGGAUCUUGCUGAACAGGCACAGAGCAGUUACAAGGCUCUGGGGACAGGAGUGGGAGACGUUCAGCUCUGCUCAUGUUAGUGGAAGCUUUGCUGCAGGUUAGAUGGACUGUUAACUCUUGAGGUUCUUUCUUCACAAAGGAUUUUGCCCAGGGAAGAGCUGGUUCCAGGCCAGUGCGGGACAAUCGCUUUCUGCUUGCCAGGUGUGAAAGUAGGAAACCUUCCACGCAGGUGAACUGCCACACACUUGGUUCUCCUAUCUGCACAGUGUUAGCCCAUACUUCUGGUAUCGUUUGGGAUGAAAAGUUCUCCUUGACAUUUAAUUAUUAUCAGAAUUAGUCAUUAGCACUGUCGUCAUUGCAAGGAGCUUUGCCACUGAUGAAGUAGGAUGGAACUUGGGGCCAGGGUUAGGUCAGUGUUACUGCAGGAACAUGUUUGUUUCAGAUUUAGCAUGUGAAAAAUAGAGAAAAAAAUGUAUCAAUCUGCAGACUUUUCUUGGUCUGCUUUCAGAAUGGAGCGUCCAAGAGCCCGCCCUUGCUGCAUGACUGUCACCGCUUGACCCAGGAUCCAGGCUUUAUGUGUGCUGAGAUAACAGAGCGGACAAAGAGUCCAAUACUCCGUUGGGAAACAUGAAGUUAAGAAAAAGGAAUGCUAAAAAAACAGUGUUUUUCCCCAAAUUCCUCCACAGUUUCACAAGCACUUACUCGCACACCAUUCCUCUCUUAUGAGCUGAGAUGUGUUAUUGUAUUGGGAACGCACACGGGAGCCUCAGCCCAUGGCUGUGCAGUGAUUGCUGCUCCCUGGGGCUCGGCAGGAGGAGGUGCCCCGUGUGCAGCACAGCCCUGGGGAACCCUCCUGCCCCAUUCCCAGCCCCAGGCGGUGCUGUUCUAUGGAGCUACCGGAGAUGGGAAGGAUCAUCCAUCCACUGGCUGCUUCCAGACUGCUGUUUGUUUGGGAAAAUCACACUGGAGAUAAGAUGUUAAAACACAGAUAAUGACAUUUCCUUGAUAUGAGUGUAAUUCUCAUAGGCUGCUUUGAGUUCUGCCCUACGUGCCUCCACAUGGCUUCGCUUCGGGUCUCUGCUGAAAGCGACAGGGGAGAGUCCUGCACUGUUGACAUUUGCUCUACAAAAACAUUUCCAGCUCUUCUUAGGGCCUUUUUUCAGCCACAGAAACCAGUCCAACCACUUCCCCACCAACACUGUGUUCUUCACGAGGAGCAGAUGGGGCUGGCUGCCAUCGUGCCUCUGCCCUUCUCUCAUUAACACCUCUUCGUCUCACGCUGGGGAAAUUUGGAACUUCCAUCCUGAACAGAGGGCAAAUGGAGCUGCGUGGAGACCCACUCUAACAGUGUGCAAAGCCCAUGUGAAAAUAGAAGAGCCUUCCAAGCCUGCGGGCCCUGCUGUCUGUUAUGGCAGCCGUGGGGUGUAAUAAACUUUUAAGCGGAGCUGGGUGGUGCGGGGCUCUGUUGGCAAUGUUGCAGUGAAUGCUCUGUCCCAGCGCCCACAGAAUCAUAGAAUCCUUGGAGUUGGAAGGGACUUUAAAGGUAUCUGGUCCAAAUCCCCUGCCACGUACAGGGACAGGCAUAGCUCCAUCAGGUAGCCCAGAGCCUGGUCCAGCCCAGCCUUGAAAGUCUCCAGGGAUGGGGCAUCACCACCUCUCCAGGCACAGGUCAUGCAGCUGAGCACCCAAUUCUCCCCCGACCAACAUUGGGACAGGGGCAUUUUGCUCUGUGCUCUGCUCUCUGCCCCUGGUUCAGGCUGAGCACAGGGACAUUGCUUGGAGAAGAGGCAGCACAGCACCAGGGCUAUGGACUCUGAUUCAUGUUAGGCAGAAGGCUUCUCUGCACUGUCAUUAAAAGAGAGUGUGUGUGUGAGGCUGAUGGACUGUGCCAUGCAGCUUUGAAAUCCGAGCAGAUUCCUCCAGGCUAUGUUUACGCUACAGCAUAAUUUGUGUGUGUGAAAGAGCCUCUACUUCUAUUUCAGCAACAUUACAAGGAUGGAAGUCAUACCCUCUGACAGCCUCUUUGCUGCUCUGUGGGGACGUCCCGCAGCCCGGGGUGUCUGUGCAGGAGGGGACCCGGCUGAGCCACCGCAGCAGAGCCGUGUCCUGAGUGGAUGCAGAAACCAUCCCAAGGAGCAGCUCCUGCCCCAGAGUCACACACAGAGCCCCACUGUGGCCAUGGCCCGGCCAGGGCCUUGGGAUGCAGACAGGUAUCACUCAGACACAAACCUGCAUCUGCUUCCAAAGCCAUCAGCACGUGACAGCUCCACGUCCCAUCGAAAUGCUAUCGUUCAGAGGGAUAAUGUCCUUCAGAGGGAUGAAGAGCAGCAGUUCCAUGAACCCAAGUGACGGUCCGGUCCCUGCGUGUGACUUAAUUCAGGUGACAAUGUGGAAGCACAGCGUGGACAGACAGCCCCAAACCCUUUUAAAACGGGGAGCAGACGUGGAAGUCAGCUCAGAUCCAACAGUGACCGCACUCCCAUUCUUUUUACAUUUACAGUAAUGGAGCUGUGGGCUUCCAAGUGUCCUGCACUACUGAUUGCAGAUUUUAAUGAGCUUUAAAUUACCAAAGGGGUUUGUGGGUCAGAUGCCUUAAGAACAGGAACCGUUCCCAGAUGCUGAAUGCGGGGUUCAAAAGGCCCUCCUGAAGCCACGCAAGCAGGACACCCAUGGCCCUGCUGCCAAGAGUCUGAGUGCCCUUGCCUUGCCCUACUUAUCUGAAGAGCCUGUCAGCAUGUUCUAUAACCAGUGGAAACCACUUUAGAGCCGGAGCCAGACACCGAGGUGCCGGGGUCCACAUUUCAUUUCUCUGCAUGGGAAAGUUGUGCAGCAGAAGGGCCAGACCCUUCUCUGAGCAGCAUUCUUCUGCCUAUCUCGUUCUCAGCCCUGAGCUGGCAUGUUUGAGGAUUGACACAGGCUGUGCAGUUUGUACAUUUAUUUAUUUUUUUUCUAACAAAGAGAAAAAUGUGACCAUUAACAAUUGCUGCAGAAGGUUAAGCUUUAAGCUGUAGCAGUUUUCAGUGCAAUGUGAGAAUUUUAAUGGCGUGCUUGCAGAGAAUUCAAGCUCCACUGUGGGAAGAGUGUCUCAGCACUCUAUAACCCAAGCUCUUCUGGAUUCACCUAUAGGACAAACCCACUCCUAGCACAGCCUUGCUCUUGCCACACUGCUCCCCACAUCUUGCCCCCAUUUCCCUCAAGUGUUUCCUUCCUGGACAAGUCAAUCAGUUCUGCACUGUGCAAGCAGGACCAGCAGCACUUCCCCACUGGGAAGGAUGGAGGAGGUGGGCACGAGGACUUCAGAGACAUGGGAACAACAGCCCACCACAACGGCCUCUGAGCAAAGCGGACCUACAGGAGUGGCCACAGGCCCAGCGAUGGGAGAAAAGAGCUGUAACUCACGGAGGCUCUGCAACGCAGACAUUUCUUUGUCAGGAGAAUGUUUUCCUAGGGACAGGUUCUGCUUCUUAAGAAACACUUCAGAUAUUAUUACUUCACACAGAUUCCUGGUUGGGGAAAAAUAGUGUUUAAAACCAGCCAGAACUGUUAAAAUUUAUGGUAUCAAAAUAUAUUCUGUCAAAAUAUUUAUACCAUAAACCAGCAUCAUUAACUGUCCCCUCGUGCUGCUCUUGGGAAAGAGGGGAGAGGAAUCUGAGACGUCUGAUGUGUAAAUUCCUUCGUUUAUCACUGUUUUAUUGCCUGGCAUGGCAACAGAAAGUGGCUUUAGAGUCUGAAUGAAUCUGGGUCUGAAGGAAUUCCUGUUGUCGAACGGCCCUUCUGUGGGCUGCAGGGGUGUUUUCUGAGUGACAUAUUUCCAGAGGCACCUACACGCAUAUACACACAUACUUGGCAUCCCAGCCCACAUGCCAGCACAUGUUGUGAGCCUACAUUUACCCUCCAGGAGUUGAGUAAGCACGCUCCCAUUGAAUUAUCUGGCAGCGGGAAGGGACAUGGGGCUGUGGAUAAAGAUAGGAGGCUGAAAUAGGUCUGCAUGAGACCAGGAUGCUCUAAGCUUCAUGGCUAUGCCUUGAGGUUGUGUAAAGUUUGUGUAUAGCUGGAUAUGGAUCCAGCACACCCCACGAGACCCCACGCUGCUGCUGCUUCCCCACUUAACCCAGGGGUCUGCCCAUCGCACAGCACUGAGCUCUGCUACCGCAUCGCUCCAGGGCGAGCAAGCAGUGCUGCAGUCCUUCAUAAAAAUGAAUUGUUUUGCUUCCUGGAAUUAUUACUUUCUGCCGUAUCACUUGUCUAUUAAUUACCCGUGCUUUUGGAUGAAAAGCAGCAGACAGACAGGAGCGCAUUACGCGCGUGAUUGAAGGCGCGGGGUUACGGAGUCGUUCUCUCUUAUUAUCUCACCAAAGUUUGGGUCUAAUGGAGUGGCUGUUAAUAUUCACGUUCAUUUGACUGUGAAUGCCUGGAAAAAAAAGCAUCUAUGGGUUUAUUUAUCUUGGCAAAGGCAGUCCAGUACAUACAAUGCAUCUUUAGUUUUUGUAACAAGUUGAAAAACAGGGUGGAAAUGGGGAUGUCUGGAGAGCACGGUGAAGGGUGUCUGGGCAAGAGCCCGCACUGGGAGCUGCAGAGGAGCCCAAGGGAGCUCCAAAGGAAUCCAAAAAAGACCAAAGGAUCUCCAAGGAGCUCCAAAGGUAUCCAAAGGAGCCCAAAGAAGCUGCAAGGAGCCCAAAGGACUCCAGAGAAGCUCUAAAGGAGCCCAAAGGAGCUCUAAAGCUGUCCAGAGGAGCCUCAGGGAGGUGCUGCAGUGGGUCCCAGGCUGUGUUCCCUCUCCUCUGCCAACUCCAUGCCCCAAGUCUGCCUUAAAACCCAACAAAUGUCUGUUUCUUUGCAUCAUAACAAAGCAGUUCUUAUUCUCUGCCUCCUCCUCUUUGUGCUAUUGGCGUUUCUGGGUUUUCAGCUGUUCCCUGUAACCGUGAGGGCUACAAAAUGUCUUCUGAAAAAAACUGAAAGUUGAGACUCUGGUAUAUUCACAGGUCUCCCAGGACAGAGGCUUUACAAAAGCCAUCAAAUACG